AUGGGGCUGCAGCUCAGUGGUAAAGUGCUUGCCUCGCAUGUGUGAGGCACUGGUUUCAAUCCCCAGCACCGCAUA
rnacentral:tRNA from 1 species